UUGGCGGAGAGUUUGAUCCUGGCUCAGGAUGAACGCUGGCGGCGUGCUUAAUACAUGCAAGUCGAACGGAGACUGUAGCAAUACUGUCUUAGUGGCGAACGGGUGAGUAACGCGUUGGUGACCUGCCCCGAAGAGGGGGAUAACAGUCCGAAAGGAUUGCUAAUACCCCAUGUGGUCGUUUGGAUUAGAUGCCUUACGACUAAACGGAUUUAUUCGCUUCGGG
rnacentral:rRNA from 1 species